rnacentral:rRNA from 1 species
UUCCGGUUGAUCCCGCCGGAGGUUACUGCUAUCGGUGUUCGCCUAAGCCAUGCGAGUCAUAUGUAGCAAUACAUGGCGUACUGCUCAGUAACACGUGGAUAACCUGCCCUUGGGACCGGCAUAACCCCGGGAAACUGGGGAUAAUUCCGGAUAACGCAUAUUUGCUGGAAUGCUUUAUGCGUCAAAAGGAUUCGUCUGCCCAAGGAUGGGUCUGCGGCCUAUCAGGUAGUAGUGGGUGUAAUGUACCUACUAGCCAGCGACGGGUACGGGUUGUGAGAGCAAGAGCCCGGAGAUGGAUUCUGAGACAUGAAUCCAGGCCCUACGGGGCGCAGCAGGCGCGAAAACUUUACAAUGCGGGAAACCGUGAUAAGGGGACACCGAGUGCCAGCAUCAUAUGCUGGCUGUCCGGAUGUGUAAAAUACAUCCGUUAGCAAGGGCCGGGCAAGACCGGUGCCAGCCGCCGCGGUAACACCGGCGGCCCGAGUGGUGAUCGUGAUUAUUGGGUCUAAAGGGUCCGUAGCCGGUUUGGUCAGUCCUCCGGGAAAUCUGAUAGCUCAACUAUUAGGCUUUCGGGGGAUACUGCCAGACUUGGAACCGGGAGAGGUAAGAGGUACUACAGGGGUAGGAGUGAAAUCUUGUAAUCCCUGUGGGACCACCUGUGGCGAAGGCGUCUUACCAGAACGGGUUCGACGGUGAGGGACGAAAGCUGGGGGCACGAACCGGAUUAGAUACCCGGGUAGUCCCAGCCGUAAACGAUGCUCGCUAGGUGUCAGGCAUGGCGCGACCGUGUCUGGUGCCGCAGGGAAGCCGUGAAGCGAGCCACCUGGGAAGUACGGCCGCAAGGCUGAAACUUAAAGGAAUUGGCGGGGGAGCACAACAA